UACGAAGGGGGCUAGCGUUGUUCGGAAUUACUGGGCGUAAAGCGCACGUAGGCGGCUUUAUAAGUCAGGGGUGAAAUCCCGGGGCUCAACUCCGGAAUUGCCUUUGAUACUGUCUAUCUUGAGUCCGGGAGAGGUGAGUGGAAUUCCCAGUGUAGAGGUGAAAUUCGUAGAUAUUAGGAAGAACACCAGUGGCGAAGGCGGCUCACUGGCCCGGUACUGACGCUCAUGUGAGAAAGCGUGGGGAGCAAACAGG
rnacentral:rRNA from 1 species